UUACUUUUCAUAGUAGUUGAGAAGUUUAUCUGGAAUUCUAAGUAACAGUUUUCCUGCAUUAUGAAACAAGAGCCUCCUCUCAACCAUUACACUCUGGGUGUGUUGACCCCAGUGAUUUCCCCAAAUACGGAAAACUCAACACUGCAUAAUUUGUGGCAGUGGGGCACCGUGUUUGUGCUCUCCCCUG
rnacentral:snRNA from 1 species